rnacentral:rRNA from 1 species
CCUACGUGGCGCAGCAGUGAGGAAUAUUGGGCAAUGGGCGCGAGCCUGAACCAGCCAAGUAGCGUGAAGGAUGACUGCCCUACGGGUUGUAAACUUCUUUUAUAAAGGACUACAGUGAGGCACGUGUGCCUUUUUGUAUGUACUUUAUGAAUAAGGAUCGGCUAACUCCGUGCCAGCAGCCGCGGUAAUACGGAGGAUCCGAGCGUUAUCCGGAUUUAUUGGGUUUAAAGGGAGCGUAGAUGGGUUGUUAAGUCAGUUGUGAAAGUUUGCGGCUCAACCGUAAAAUUGCAAUUGAUACUGGCAGCCUUGAGUACAGUUGAGGUAGGCGGAAUUCGUGGUGUAGCGGUGAAAUGCUUAGAUAUCACGAAGAACUCCGAUUGCGAAGGCAGCCUACUAAACUGCCACUGACAUUGAUGCUCGAAAGUGUGGGUAUCAAACAGGAUUAGAUACCCCUGUAGUC